rnacentral:pre_miRNA from 1 species
CAAGGCAACCAGGUGCCCCUAAUUGCCAGGGAGUGGGCAUGAGCUUGUGUUAAGCCCACCUGUGCCUAAUUAGCCUUUUAUUGGCCCCCUGGUCCUGCUCAUGCGCAGUGAGGGCCUGCCCUAAUUAGGCACAGGUGGGCUUAACGCAAGCUCAUGCCCACUCCCUGGCAAUUAGGGGCACCUGGUUGCCUUGUUACACU